rnacentral:lncRNA from 1 species
UUGAAAUCUUAUUCCCAAAACCUCAUUUCUCAACUCUAAACCCUAAACCCUAAACUCUAAACCCUAAACCCUAAACCUUAAAUUCUAAACCCUAAACCCUAAAUUCUAAACCCUAAACCCUAAACCCUAAUCUAUAAACCUUAAACCCUAAACUCUAAACCAUAAACCCUAAACCCCAUCCUUUAACUCUAAACCCUAAGUUUGUGACUUUUGAUAAAACGUUAAGUGCUAUUUUUGUGAUUUUUGAUCUUG